GGUUAUGGCUCAGCGGUAGAGUGCUUGCCUUGCAUGUACAAGGUACUGGGUUGGAUCCUCAGCACCA
rnacentral:tRNA from 1 species